rnacentral:rRNA from 3 species
CCUACGGGAGGCAGCAGUAGGGAAUCUUCCACAAUGGACGAAAGUCUGAUGGAGCAACGCCGCGUGAGUGAAGAAGGGUUUCGGCUCGUAAAGCUCUGUUGGUAGUGAAGAAAGAUAGAGGUAGUAACUGGCCUUUAUUUGACGGUAAUUACUUAGAAAGUCACGGCUAACUACGUGCCAGCAGCCGCGGUAAU